rnacentral:snRNA from 1 species
GUGCUCGCUUCCGCAGCACAUAUACUAAAAUUGGAAUGAUACAGAAAAGAUUAGCAUGGCCCCUGCGCAAGGAUAACACGCAAAUUCGUGAAGCAUUCCAUAUUUUU